UGAUAGGUCGGGUGUGUAAGCGCAGCGAUGCGUUGAGCUAACCGAUACUAAUGAACCGUGAGGCUUAACCUUA
rnacentral:rRNA from 1 species